rnacentral:rRNA from 1 species
UAGAGUUUGAUCCUGGCUCAGAUUGAACGCUGGCGGCAUGCCUUACACAUGCAAGUCGGACGGCAGCGCGGGCUUCGGCCUGGCGGCGAGUGGCGAACGGGUGAGUAAUACAUCGGAACGUGUCCUGGAGUGGGGGAUAGCCCGGCGAAAGCCGGAUUAAUACCGCAUACGCUCGACAGAGGAAAGCGGGGGAUCUUCGGACCUCGCGCUCAAGGGGCGGCCGAUGGCAGAUUAGCUAGUUGGUGGGGUAAAGGCCUACCAAGGCGACGAUCUGUAGCUGGUCUGAGAGGACGACCAGCCACACUGGGACUGAGACACGGCCCAGACUCCUACGGGAGGCAGCAGUGGGGAAUUUUGGACAAUGGGGGCAACCCUGAUCCAGCAAUGCCGCGUGUGUGAAGAAGGCCUUCGGGUUGUAAAGCACUUUUGUCCGGAAAGAAAACUUCGUUCCUAAUACGGAUGGAGGAUGACGGUACCGGAAGAAUAAGCACCGGCUAACUACGUGCCAGCAGCCGCGGUAAUACGUAGGGUGCGAGCGUUAAUCGGAAUUACUGGGCGUAAAGCGUGCGCAGGCGGUUCGCUAAGACCGAUGUGAAAUCCCCGGGCUUAACCUGGGAACUGCAUUGGUGACUGGCGGGCUAGAGUAUGGCAGAGGGGGGUAGAAUUCCACGUGUAGCAGUG